AAUUGCCAAGAAAUACAAAAGUAUUUGGAGGGAUGGGGUCCCUGAACCAUUUACAGUGGGUUGUAUUCAUGAAAGUCUUAUUGAUAGAAAAUAGCCAAAGCCCAAAAAUACAAAAGCAGGGUGAAUUCAGAAAAAGGGAGAGACAUUUUGCUUUUCCAUUAUAUAUUAUAUUAGCGCAACACCUAAUACAUUUCUAAAAUGAUAUUUCCUAAUCACACAAAAAAAUAACAUGUUGAUAUGAUAUUCGCAGGAGGCAUGACACACACAUUUGUGUACACAACCAAAACCAUAUUUUCGGUUCACAUUGGGUAAACUGGGACGCAAUUAUCAUAGUCCUAAUAGUUUUUUUAUUUUAAUUUUAAUUUAUUUCACCUUUAUUUAACCAGGUAGGCUAGUUGAGAACAAGUUCUCAUUUACAACUGCGACCUGGCCAAGAUAAAGCAAAGCAGUGUGACACAAACAACAACACCGAGUUACACAUGGAAUAAACAAACAUACAGUCAAUAAUACAAUAGAGAAAGUCUAUAUACAGUGUGUACAAAUGAGGUAGGAUAAGGGGGGUGAGGCAAUAAAUAGGCCAUAGUGGCGAAAUUAUUACAGUAUGGCAAAUUAAACACUGGAGUGAUAGAUGUGCAGAAGAUGAGUGUGCAAGUAGAGAUACUGGGGUGCAAAGGAGAAAAAUAAACAAAAUAAAUAAUAAUAUGGUGAUGAGGUAGUUGGGUGGGUUAUUUACAGAUGGGCUAUGUACAGGUGCAGUGAUCUGUGAGCUGCACUGACAGCUGGUGCUUAAAGCUAGAGAGGGAUAUAUAAGUCUCCAGCUUCAGUGAUUGUUGCAGUUCGUUCCAGUCAUUGGCAGCAGAGAACUGUAAGGAAAGGCGGCCACAGGAGGAAUUGUCUUUGGGGGUGACCAGUGAAAUAUACCUGCUGGGGCGCGGUUCUGUGGGUGGGUGUUGCUAUGGUGACCAGUGAGCUGAGAUAACGCCUUGAGCCAGUGGGUUUGGCGACGGAUAUGAAGCAAGGGCCAGCCAACGAGAGCAUACAGGUCGCAGUGGUGGGUAGUGUAUGGGGCUUUGGUGACAAAAUGGAUGGCACUGUGAUAGACUGCAUCCAAUUUUCUGAGUAGAGUGUUGGAGGCUAUUUUGUAAAUUACAUUGCCAAAGUCAAGGAUCGGUAGGAUAGUCAGUUUUACGAGGGUAUGAUUAGCAGCAUGAGUGAAGGAUGCUUUGUUGCAAAAUAGGAAGCAGAUUCUAGAUGUAAUUUUGGAUUGGAGAUUCUUAAUGUGAGUCUGGAAGGAGAGUUUACAGUCUAACCAGACACCUAGGUAUUUGCAGUCAGAACCUUCCAGAGUAGUGAUGCUGGACGGGUGGGUAGGUGUGGGCAGCGAUCGGUUGAAGAGCAUGCAUUAAGUUUUGCUUGCAUUUAAGAGCAGUUUGAGGACACGGAAGGAGAGUUGUAUGGCAUUGAAGCUCAUCUGGAGGUUAGUUAACACAGUGUCCAAAGAAGGGCUAGAAGUAUACAGAAUGGUGUCGUCUGUGUAGAGGUGGAUUAGAGAAUCACCAGCAGCAAGAGCGACAUCAUUGAUGUAUACAGAGAAAAGAGUCAGCCCAAGGAUUCAACCCUGUGGCACCCCCACAGAGACUGCCAGAGGUCCGGACAACAGGCCCUCGGAUUUGACACACUGAACUCUGUCAGAGAAGUAGUUGGUGAACCAGGCGAGGCAGACAUUUGAGAAACCAAGGCUGUUGAGUCUGCAGAUAAGAAUGUGGUGAUUGACAGAGUCGAAAGCCUUGGCCAGGUCGAUGAAUACAGCUGCACAGUAUUGUCUCUUAUCGAUAGCGGUUAUGAUGUCAUUUAGGACCUUGAGCGUGGCUGAGGUGCACCCAUGACCAGCUCGGAAACCAGAUUGCAUAGCGGAGAAGGUACGGUGGGAUUCGAAAUGGUCGGUGAUCUGUUUGUAAACUUGGCUUUCGAAGACCUUAGAAAGGCAGGGUAGGAUAGAUAUAGGUAUGUAGCAGUUUGGGUCUAGAGUGUUCCCCUUUGAAGAAGGGGAUGACCGCGGCAGCUUUCCAAUCUUUGGGAAUCUCAGUCGAUACGAAAGAGAGGUUGAACAAGCUAGUAAUAGCGUUUGCAACAAUUUCGGCUGAUCAUUUUAGGAAGAGAGGGUCUUCCCUCAGCUCUGCUGAUUUGUAGGGGUCCAGAUUUUGCAGCUCAUUCAGAACGUCAGCAAUCUGGAUUUGGGUGGAGUAAAGUUGCAUAUCGCGGGGGCUGUUCGAUGCUAAUGCAGAACGCCGCAGGAUGUUUUUGUGCUGGUCAAGGGCAGUCGGGUCUGGAGUGAACCAAGGGCUAUAUCUGUUCCUGGUUCUACAUUGUUUGAAUGGAGCAUGCUUAUUUAAGAUGGUGAGGAAAGCACUUUUAAAGACAGGCAUCCUCUACUGACGGAAUGAGGUCAAUAUCAUUCCAGGAUACCCGGGCCAGGUCGAUUUGAAAUGCCUGCUCGCUGAAGUGUUUAAUGGAGCGUUUGACUGUGAUGAGGGGUGGUCGCUUGACUGCAGACCCAUUACGGAUGCAGGCAAUGAGGCAGUGAUCGCUGAGAUCCUGGUUGAAGACAGCAGAGGUGUAUUUGGAGGGCAGGUUUGUUUGGAUGAUAUCUAUGAGGGUGCCCGUGUUUACGGAUUUGGGGUUGUACCUGGUGGGUUCAUUGAUCAUUUGUGUGAGAUUGAGAGCAUCAAGCUUAGAUUGUAGGAUGGCCGGGGUGUUAAGAAUGUCCCAGUUUAGGUCACCUAACAGCACGAGCUCGUAUGUACCGCACGAUUGUACCGCAAUAACAAUUAAAUUCACACUUUUUUGUUAUAUUAUAAUCUUGAGAAUUUUUGAAAUGUACUGUAUCAUGUGUUGGGCUAAUAUGUUGGAUAGAUGUCGAAAGAGGUUAGAGAAGACAGAAAUGGAAUAUAUAUAAAUUAAACAGGAUAACGGUACUUCAACAACCGGAGCUCUGCCUAACCUAAGUACAAGGGGUCCCUAUAAACGGGAUCUGUCCCACUUUAGGUACUCCAUGCUAUCUUACCUUAGCUAGCAAUGGUUGGUAAAGUGGGACAACAACAAAAAUGACUGAAUUACAAAAUUGAAACAUAUCAGCAACUUGUUUUUAUUUAUUUUCAAGCACCAGUAGAUUGUAUGACUAUUUACAUCACAAUUUGGCACAGUGCAUUAUCUAUGACUGGGUUAUAACUAACCCAAGAUAGUUAAUCUGUGUCAGUUUCAAUGGGAGCAAAUUAAGCAUAGUGGGCAGAACAAGCAAGGAGGUGUGUUCUAGCAUGUUGUUGCAUAUUUCUGUUAGGGGACGACUUCUCUGUGAAGUGCACGUGUGCAAUAACUCAAUUCGCUCUAGAACUUCUUGUAAACAACACUUUUUUUCCCUUUGGCAAAAGGCCAUGUCAACAAAACGUGUACUCUGUUCGUAACAGAUUUUAGUUUUGGGAACAGAAAACCUUAUUGCGAUGAGACUUUUCUUCGAUCAGAAAAUCAACAGAAUGUUGGCCCAGUUCCAUCUUGUUCCAACCUAUUGGAAGCUGGGGUGUCUGAUCUGUGUGCUAGUAGUUCAAACAGACAACUCGGUUCAUUCAACAUUCAAUACCUCUCACAAAUACAAUCAGUGAUGAGGUCAAUCUCUCCUCCACUUUGAUCCAGGAGAGAUUGACAUGCAUAUUAUUAAUGUUAGCUCUAUCUUUCCAUUGAAAGGCAAGCUGUGCUGCCCUGUUCUGAGCCAAUUGCAAUUUUUACAAGUCCCUCUUUGUGGCACCUGACCAAACGACUGAACAGUAGUCCAGGUGUGACAAAACUAGGGCCUGUAGGACCUGUCUUGUUGAUAGUGUUGUUAAGAAUGCAGAACAGUGCUUUAUUAUAGACAGACUUCUCACCAUUCUAGCUACUAUUGUAUCAAUAUGUCUUGACCAUGACAGUUUACAAUUGAGUUUUACUCCAUUUACUCAAUUUCCCCCAUUUAGUCACCUCAACUUGCUCAAUUUCCACAUAAUUCAUUACAAGAUUUAGUUCAGGUUUAGGGUUUAGUGAAUGAUUUGUCCCAAAUACAAUGCUUUUAAAAAAAUAUUUAAGACUAACUUGUUCCUUGCCACCCAUUCUGAAACUAACUGCAGCUCUUUGUUAAGAGUUGCUGUCAUUUCAGUCGCUGUGGUAGCUGAUGUGUAUAGUGUUGAGUCAUCCGCAUACAUAGACACUUUACUCAAAGUUAUUAGUAAAGAUUGAAAAAAGUAAGGGACAGCUGCCCUGGGGAAUUCCUGAUUCUACCUGGAUUCUGUUGGAGAGCCUCCAUUAAAGCACACCCUCUGUAUUCUGUUAGACAGGUAACUAUUUAUCCGCAAUAUAGCAGGGGGUGUAAAGCCAUAACAUAUAUGUUUUUCCAGCAACAGACUGAUCAAAAAUGUCAAAAGCCACACUGAAGUCUAACGAAACAGCCCCCACAAUCUUUUUAUCAUUAAUUUCUUUCAGCCAAUCAUCAGUUGUUGAAUGUCCUUCCCUAUUUUUUAACUAGGCAAGUCAGUUGAGGACAAAUUCUUAUUUACAAUGAUAGCCUAGGAACAGGGGGUUGACUGCCUUGUUCAGGGGUAGAACAACAGAUUUUUACCUUGUCAGCUCGGGAUUUCAAUCUAGCAACCUUUCGGUUACUGGCCUAACGCUCUAAUCACUAGGCUCCCUGCCGCCCCAAUAGGUGUGCUGAAAGUCUGCUGUCAAUUUGUUUACUGUAAAAGAGCAUCGAAUCUUGUCAAACACAGUUUUUUCCAAAAGUUUACUGAGGGUUGGUAAAAUGGGUCGGGUAUUUGAACCAGUAAAGGGGGAUUUACUAUUCUUAACUAGGGGAAUAACUUUCGCUUCCCUCCAGGACAAAGGGCACACACUUUCUAGUAGGCUUAAAUUGAAGAUAUGGCAAAUACAGUGCCUUCAGAAAGUACCCCUUGACUUUUUCCACAUUUGAUUAAUUUACAGACUUAUUCUAAAAUUGAUGAAAUAAAAAACAAUCCUCAGCCAUCUACACACCAUAUCCAUAAUGACGUUUUUGGAAAUGUUUGCAAAUGUAUAAAAAAUAAAUAAAUAAUAUAUAAAUAAUAUAUGCCAUUUAGCAGACGCUUUUAUCCAAAGCGACUUACAGUCAUGUGUGCAUACAUUCUACGUAUGGGUGGUCCCGGGGAUCGAACCCACUACCCUGGCGUUACAAGCGCCAUGCUCUACCAACUGAGCUACAGGACCAAUAAAAGACAGUAAUGUCCAAAGUUUGAAGACAACUACUCAUUCCAGGUUUUUUAUUUUUGUUUUUACUAUUUUCAACAUUAUAGAUUAAUAGUGAAGACAUCAAAACUAUGAAAUAACACAUAUGGAAUCAUGUAGUAACCCAAAGAGUGUUAAACAAAUCAAAAUAUAUUUUAUGUUUGAGGUUCUUCAAAGUAUAGUCGAUGACAGCUCUGCAAACUCUUGGCAUUCUCUCAACCUGCUUCAUGAGGUACUCACCUCGAAUGCAUUUCAAUUAACAGGUUUGCCUUGUUAAAAGUUAACUUGUGGAAUUUAUUUCCUUCUUAAUGCGUUUGAGCCAAUUAGUUGUGUUGUGACAAGGUAGGGGUGUUAUAAAGAAGAUAGCCGUAUUUGGUAAAAGAUCAAGUCCAUAUUAUGGCAAGAACAGUUCAAAUAAGCAAAGAGAAAUGACAGUCCAUCAUUACUUUAAGACAUAAAGGUCAGUCAAUCCGGAAAAUUUCAAGAACUUUUAAAGUUUCUUCAAGUGCAGUCGCAAAAUCUAUCAAGCGCUAUGAUGAAACUGGCUUUCAUGAAGACCACCACAGGAAAGGAAAACCCAGAGUUACCACUGCUACAGAGUAGAGGUCGACCCAUUAAUCGGAAUGGCCGAUUAAUUCGGGCCGAUUUCAAGUUUUCAUAACAAUCAGAAAUCUGUAUUUUUCGGCACCGAUUUGACGUUUUUAUACCAUUAUUUAACUAGGCAAGUCAGUUAGAACACAUUCUUAUUUUCAAUGACGGCCUAGGAACAGUGAACCGUAAUCAAAAACCAAGACUAUCAAAGGCCUUUGUGUCCAAACAUCAACAGAUAUUUGUACUAGCUCCAAUGUAUCAAGGAGGGGGACUUUGGCCUAUCUAAUGAAGCUAGAGGAAAUAUGUAGGCUACAGUAAGUAAAGUGUGAUAUCGUCUCUAGACAAGCUGUGCCAUUGAAUUGUUCAAGCAUCAUCAUUAUAAAAUGUAUUGGAGGAUUUUUACUCCACUGGCUGGCUACAAAUAAAGGUCCUUUUCAAAACACUGAAACUGUAGACCGUCAAUCAGACUCAGGAAUUACCAUUGGUUGAAAUUGGAAUCCUCGGAUGUUGUGACAGGCCAAAUCAAGGAGUUGGGAAAAAAGUUCAGUGAACGCAGCAUGUCUCCCCGGAGGCGGUGAGAAGAGUGGAAGAAAGGAGUGAAGUUGAAGAAAUAUUGGUAGUAGGAGUAGAGACACCAGAUAAUAUUCCUUGUCAACCGAGGGAUAUGUUGUAUGUUAGGAAGGUGGAUUUUUUUGGCGUGUAUUGCAUUGGGUAGCACCUGCACAGCUCAAACAAAGAGGAAAUCUGAGAAAAUUGGAGGGUUUGCAGAAAUAAAGCGUUUUUUGGGACUGAUAUAUUUUACAGCAUUACAAGGAAUCCUGUCGAUGAAUGCUCCGUUCUUCCAGGUACCUGAGCCUGUUUAUGGAUGUGAUUAGAACUGGGACUGAAGUGGUGCGAUAUAUUUAUUUUUAUUUUCUAUUUUUAUGACGUCCGAUCGUCGUCCCCUCCCUCAAUGGAAUAUUUGUUUGUUUCAAUACCCGGAAGUGAUGGUUCGUCGGCGAACUAGUCGGCUGUAAGAGCCGGCUCUUGUAAAUGAAUGUUGGGAGCCAACUCGUAUAUCAGAAGAGCUGAAUCUAUUUAUAAAAAUAUACAAAAAUUAAGGUAUGAAUAAUCAAACAUUUUAAAUUAAUAGAAUGAACUAAUUCAAAGAACGAAAAAAUAAAUAAAAUAAUAUAGGCCUAUAUGCUCACACACAUUCAAUCUGACUGUCUGCUGAGACUAACAGCCUCACCUGUUCUUCCUGUCAAUCAGACAUGCAGUGUCAACCAAUGAACCAAAGAAGCGUGAGGGAUGGCCGAGCCAACUCACUCACAGUCACACACUUAGCAGCUGAGGAGAGAGAGGAAGGACAGCUGUGAAAACAACAGCUGGAAAAUGAGUCGGAAACACAGUAGCUUUUGGAUGCAUUUGAAUAAUGUAGACAAUGUUAGAGCACAAUGUAUUUGCCCAAACAAAAUCUCAUAUAAAGCUGGUUCUACACACAACCUACACCGGCAUAUGCGAACUGUGCACCCAACUGUGAAGCUAGCUGGAGCGGAGCUUUGAGAAUCUAGCGGGCCUGCUAGUGAUACUGGUGGAGCCAGCACCUCCACACGUGGAGAUGUAUCCACUCAGUCAAGUAGGCCUACUCUUACUCUGUAUCCACAGCAAUGCAGUAUUUUAUGGACCAGUUUAUACCAAAGUCUAUGUCUGUAGCAAAACAAGGCCAAAUUGAUACUGCAUUGGCUAAAAUGAUUGUCACCGAUUUCCAGCCAUUUUCGAUUGUGGAGGUUUUAUAAAUUAUAGCAAUAGUCUAAAUCCAAUGUACACAAUUCCAAGCAGGAAAACCCACUGCUGGACAUCAAGGGUAACCACUUCUUACAUUUCUGUUACAUGUCACGUCUUCGAAGAUUUGUCGAUGUCUAGCUGUCUUCUGGGCUGCUUUGAGUUCAGCGACAGACACACCUCAGAGAACUGCGCAGAGGAACUGAUGAGAGUGGACAGAGAAUGGCAAUUAGAUGGAAAAGUGGUAUGUUGUGUUAGCGACAAUGCAGCUAACAUAACCAAAGCCAUUAACAUUUUUAAAUGGACCCAUCAUCCAUGUCUUGCCCACACAAUCAACCUGAUUGUAAGAGAUGCUCUGAAGGUGAUGAAGCCCACUGUGGACAAAGUGAAAGCAGCUGUGGAAUACUUCCACAGGAGCACAGUAGGUGCUGAAAAACUCAAAUCUACACAACGCCAGAUGGGGAUGCCUGAGCUGAGGCCUAAACAAGACUGCACUACAAGGUGGAAUUCAACAUUUUAUAUGCUGAAGUGGUUUCUUGAGUCAAAGGGUGCCAUCAUCUCUACCCUGGCCAUUGUUAAUGUACCUGUUGAUGCUCUGACCCAAGAGGAAUGGGAGGUGAUGGAGAAGAUGUGCAGAGUCCUGGAACCCUUUGAGCAGGUCACUGUGGAGAUCAGUGGAGAGAAGUACACUAUGUGACAGCCUCAAAAAUGGUACUCCUGUGUAAGGGUCUGCAGCGAAUCACAGCCAGCCGCCAGAGAGAAGCAAAUGUAACCACAGGACAUGUGACAGAGUUGAUGGACACCCUAUGUUCAUAAAUGGACAGAAAGUUCCACAGAAGGGAAUAUAAUCACGUGCUAUAAGAAACUGCUGCACUUGACCUCAUGUUUAAGAAGUUAGCCUUCAGUGAUGCCAGAGGGAUUGAUGAGGCUCUUCAAAGAAUAACCUCAGCUGCAGGGAGGAACAGCCCAAGCAGUCAACUGGCUCAGGCACCAGGGCAACAGGAAGAAGAGGGAGGGACAGCCCCAGCAGUCAGCUGGCACAGGCACCAGGGCAACAGGAAGAAGAGGGAGGGACAGCCCCAGCAGUCAGCUGGCUCAGGCACCAGGGCAACAGGAAGAAGAGGGAUCAGAUGGAGCAGAAGCACCAGCAGUUGUGCCGCAAACAACUGUUGUUUGAAUGCUGUUUGACGAGAAAGCAACUGGGGAUGCAGCACGAAGGAAUCCCUCAGCAGAUGCCAUAAUGGAGGUCUGAUCCUAUUUGGAGGAGCAACUCCAUGAUCUGCAGAUCAUCUGAGCUGGUGGAAGAACAAGGCCUCUGUCUACCCACGGCUUACUAAAGUCAUGACAGGGAGACUCUGCAUAGUGGCCACAUCCGUUCUCUGUGAGAGGGUCUUCUUGAAAAUGGGACAAAUAAUUACUGAGAGAUGAAACCGCAUCAGCCCCUCGAAAGUGAGGCAGCUUGCAUUUCUGAAUGCAAAUCUCUAAUAAAAGCAGCAUUGGUCAGCAUUGUUGUGUGCUGCUGGUUACAACAUGGCAAGAAAGAAGAGAGAGAAAAGAGAGACCAGUUAAAUGUUUUAAGUGGGAUGCUGCAGUUUUGCAAAUUGUUAUUUAUUUUUCUUUGAUAUAGUGCAGUAUUCUAUUAUGCUGUUCAGAUUGUAUUCGUUUUGAAUGGUUAGAUUUAUAUGCACUUUGUUUAUAUACAUUAAAAAGUUAUACUUUAAAUGCAAA